rnacentral:rRNA from 1 species
UACGGGGGGGCAAGCGUUGUUCGGAAUUACUGGGCGUAAAGGGCUCGUAGGUGGUCAACUAAGUCAUACGUGAAAUCCCUCGGCUUAACCGGGGAACUGCGCCUGAUACUGGUUGACUUGAGUUUGGGAGAGGGACGCGGAAUUCCAGGUGUAGCGGUGAAAUGCGCAGAUAUCAGGAGGAACACCGAUGGCGAAGGCAGCUCGCUGGGACGGUACUGACGCUGAGACGCGAAAGCGUGGGGAGCAAACAGG